rnacentral:tRNA from 1 species
AGGACUAUAGCUCAGUUGGUUAGAGCGCUACCUUGACAUGGUAGAGGUCUCCAGUUCGAGUCUGGAUAGUCCUACCA